CCUACGGGGGGCAGCAGUGGGGAAUAUUGCACAAUGGGCGCAAGCCUGAUGCAGCCAUGCCGCGUGUGUGAAGAAGGCCUUCGGGUUGUAAAGCACUUUCAGCGGGGAGGAAGGCGUUAAGGUUAAUAACCUUGUCGAUUGACGUUACCCGCAGAAGAAGCACCGGCUAACUCCGUGCCAGCAGCCGCGGUAAUACGGAGGGUGCAAGCGUUAAUCGGAAUUACUGGGCGUAAAGCGCACGCAGGCGGUCUGUCAAGUCGGAUGUGAAAUCCCCGGGCUCAGCCUGGGAACUGCAUUCGAAACUGGCAGGCUAGAGUCUUGUAGAGGGGGGUAGAAUUCCAGGUGUAGCGGUGAAAUGCGUAGAGAUCUGGAGGAAUACCGGUGGCGAAGGCGGCCCCCUGGACAAAGACUGACGCUCAGGUGCGAAAGCGUGGGGAGCAAACAGGAUAAGAUACCCGGGUAGUC
rnacentral:rRNA from 1 species